rnacentral:misc_RNA from 1 species
GAUGAAGAACGUAGCGAAAUGCGAUACUUGGUGUGAAUUGCAGAAUCCCGUGAACCAUCGAGUCUUUGAACGCAAGUUGCGCCCGAAGCCAUUAGGCCGAGGGCACGCCUGCCUGGGCGUCACACGUCGUUGCCCCCCCAUCUACUCCUUCGGGAUUGCGGGGGGCGGAUGAUGGCCUCCCGUGCGCCUCGUCGCGCGGUUGGCCUAAAUGCCAAGUCCUCGGCGACGCACGCCACGACAAUCGGUGGUUGCGAAACCUCGGUUGCCUGUCGUGUGCGGUCGUCGCGCAUCGAGGGCUCGAAAAAAUUGCCGGGCUUCGGCUCGACUUUCAACGCGACCCCAGGUCAGGCGGGGUUACCCGCUGAAUUUAAGUAUAUCAAUAAGCGGAGGA